rnacentral:rRNA from 1 species
AGUGAACGCUGGCGGUAGGCCUAACACAUGCAAGUCGAACGGCAGCACAGUAAGAGCUUGCUCUUACGGGUGUCGAGUGGCGGACGGGUGAGGAAUACAUCGGAAUCUACUUUUUCGUGGGGGAUAACGUAGGGAAACUUACGCUAAUACCGCAUACGACCUACGGGUGAAAGCAGGGGAUCUUCGGACCUUGCGCGAUUGAAUGAGCCGAUGUCGGAUUAGCUAGUUGGCGGGGUAAAGGCCCACCAAGGCGACGAUCCGUAGCUGGUAUGAGAGGAUGAUGAGCCACAAUGGAACUGAGACACGGUCCCGACUCCUACGGGAGGCAGCAGUGGGGAAUAUUGGACAAUGGGCGCAAGCCUGAUCCAGCCAUACCGCGUGGGUGAAGAAGGCCUUCGGGUUGUAAAGACCUUUUGUUGGGAAAGAAAAGCAGCAGGUUAAUACCCCGCUGUUCUGACGGUACCCAAAGAAUAAGCGCCGGCUAACUUCGUG